rnacentral:rRNA from 1 species
GCGGCGAGCGAACGGGGAGCAGCCCAGAGCCUGAAUCAGUGUGUGUGUUAGUGGAAGCGUCUGGAAAGGCGUGCGAUACAGGGUGACAGCCCCGUACACAAAAAUGCACAUACUGUGAGCUCGAUGAGUAGGGCGGGACACGUGGUAUCCUGUCUGAAUAUGGGGGGACCAUCCUCCAAGGCUAAAUACUCCUGACUGACCGAUAGUGAACCAGUACCGUGAG